rnacentral:rRNA from 1 species
CCUACGGGAGGCAGCAGUGGGGGAUAUUGGACAAUGGGGGGAACCCUGAUCCAGCGACGCCGCGUGAGUGAAGAAGUAUUUCGGUAUGUAAAGCUCUGUCAGCAGGGAAGAAAAUGACGGUACCUGAGUAAGAAUCCGCGGCUAACUACGUGCCAGCAGCCGCGGUAAUACGUAGUGGGCAAGCGUUAUUCGGAUUUACUGGGUGUAAAGGGAGCGUAGACGGUGCGCUAAGUCUGGAGUGAAAUGCCGCAGCUUAACUGCGGAACUGCUUUGGAAACUGGCGAACUAGAGUGCGGGAGGGGUAAGCGGAAUGCCUGGUGUAGCGGUGAAAUGCUUAGAUAGUAGGAGGAACACCAGUGGCGAAGGCGGCGUGCUGGACUGUAACUGACACUGAGGCUCGAAAGCGUGGGGAGCAAACAGGAUUAGAUACCCGUGUAGUC